rnacentral:rRNA from 1 species
GAUGAACGCUGGCGGCGUGCCUAAUACAUGCAAGUCGAGCGAACAGACGAGGAGCUUGCUCCUCUGACGUUAGCGGCGGACGGGUGAGUAACACGUGGAUAACCUACCUAUAAGACUGGGAUAACUUCGGGAAACCGGAGCUAAUACCGGAUAAUAUAUUGAACCGCAUGGUUCAAUAGUGAAAGACGGUUUUGCUGUCACUUAUAGAUGGAUCCGCGCCGCAUUAGCUAGUUGGUAAGGUAACGGCUUACCAUGGCAACGAUGCGUAGCCGACCUGAGAGGGUGAUCGGCCACAGUGGAACUGAGACACGGUCCAGACUCCUACGGGAGGCAGCAGUAGGGAAUCUUCCGCAAUGGGCGAAAGCUUGACGGAGCAACGCCGCGUGAGUGAUGAAGGUCUUCGGAUCGUAAAACUCUGUUAUUAGGGAAGAACAAAUGUGUAAGUAACUAUGCACGUCUUGACGGUACCUAAUCAGAAAGCCACGGCUAACUACGUG